GGGGCGGCGGGCGUCAGUACAGUAGAGUGUGCGCCGGGGUGGGGGGCAACGGUCAGCCGUCACCCUGAGACGGGCGGCGGCGGGAUGGCAACAGCCUCCGGGGCCUCGGACUUGUCUGGCUCCGGAGCGCCCCCGCCCGGUGUGGGAGCUCAGGCGGCGGCGGCCGCUGAGGAGGAGGAGCGAGAGGUGGUGCGGGUCCGAGUCAAGAAAUGUGAGAGCUUCUUGCCGCCAGAGUUCCGCUCUUUUGCUGUAGAUCCCCAGAUCACCUCGCUCGACGUGUUGCAGCACAUCCUCAUCCGAGCCUUUGAUUUGAGUGGGUGAGUGGGAAGAUGCUGGGGACUGGCCAGUGGGCCACCGACCUCUACAGUGGCUAUCUGGCCUUUGUUUGGAAGAAGAACUUUGGCAUCAGCUACCUGGGCCGGGACCGGCUAGGACAGGAAGUUUACCUCUCACUUCUAUCUGACUGGGACCUCAGCACAGCCUUUGCCACUGCCUCCAAACCUUACCUGCAAUUGCGUGUAGAUAUUCGGCCCUCGGAGGACAGUGGAGGGACAGAGUUUCACUCUCAUUGCCCAGGCUGGAGUGCGAUGGCGCGAUCUCGGCUCACUGCAACCUCCGCCUCCUGGGUUCAAGUGAUUCUCCUGCCUCAGCCUCCCAAGUAGCUGGGAUUACAGGCCCAUUGCUAGAAGACUGGGACAUAAUCAGCCCCAAAGAUGUCAUUGGCUCCGACGUGUUGCUGGCUGAGAAACGGUCAUCACUGACGACUGCCGCCCUGCCCUUUACACAGUCCAUCCUCACUCAGGUGGGCCGUACCUUGUCUAAGGUCCAACAAGUGCUGAGCUGGUCGUAUGGGGAAGAUGUCAAGCCCUUCAAGCCACCCCUGAGCGAUGCUGAGUUUCACACGUACCUGAACCACGAGGGCCAGCUCUCCCGACCCGAGGAGUUGCGCCUGCGGAUCUAUCAUGGCGGUGUGGAGCCCUCGCUGCGAAAGGUGGUGUGGCGGUACCUGCUGAACGUGUAUCCAGAUGGACUGACAGGCCGAGAGCGGAUGGACUACAUGAAACGCAAGAGCCGCGAGUAUGAGCAGCUCAAGAGCGAGUGGGCCCAGCGAGCGAACCCUGAGGACCUGGAAUUCAUCCGCAGCACGGUCCUCAAGGAUGUACUGCGCACUGACCGGGCCCACCCCUACUAUGCGGGGCCUGAGGAUGGCCCACAUCUACGGGCGCUGCACGACCUGCUCACCACCUAUGCCGUUACCCACCCACAGGUGUCCUACUGCCAGGGCAUGAGUGACCUUGCCUCACCCAUCCUCGCUGUCAUGGACCAUGAGGGCCAUGCCUUUGUUUGCUUUUGUGGCAUCAUGAAACGCCUGGCCGCCAACUUCCACCCUGACGGCCGCGCCAUGGCCACCAAGUUUGCACACUUGAAGCUGUUGCUGCGACACGCUGACCCUGACUUUUAUCAAUACCUGCAAGAGGCAGGCGCUGAUGACCUCUUCUUCUGUUACCGCUGGCUGCUGCUGGAACUCAAGCGUGAGUUCGCCUUCGACGAUGCCCUCCGCAUGCUUGAGGUCACUUGGAGUUCGCUGCCCCCUGAUCCUCCUGAACAUGAGGUAGAGCUGGUUGGACCCCCCAGCCAAGUGGCAGACGCUGGUUUUGGUGGCCACAGGGGGUGGCCCGUGCGACAGAGGCACAUGCUGAGGCCUGCUGGUGGAGGAGGUAGUACCUUUGAAGAUGCUGUUGACCACCUGGCCACAGCCAGUCAGGGGCCUGGUGGUGGGGGGCGUCUCCUGAGACAGGCCAGCUUGGAUGGCCUCCAGCAACUCAGGGAUAACAUGGGCUCCAGGAGGGACCCUCUGGUCCAGCUGCCCCACCCAGCUGCCCUUAUCAGCUCCAAGUCCCUCUCUGAGCCUUUAUUGAACUCCCCAGACCCACUGCUCUCCUCCUUUUCCCACCCUGAUUCCCCAUCUUCCUCAUCUCCACCAUCCACCCAGGAGGCCUCUCCCACUGGUGAUAUGGCUGUAGGAUCCCCCUUGAUGCAAGAGGUAGGCUCCCCGAAAGACCCUGGAAAGUCCCUGCCACCUGUACCACCAAUGGGCCUGCCCCCACCCCAGGAGUUUGGCCGGGGGAACCCAUUCAUGCUGUUCCUCUGCCUGGCCAUCCUGCUGGAGCACCGCGACCACAUCAUGCGCAAUGGGCUGGAUUAUAAUGAGCUGGCCAUGCACUUUGACCGCCUUGUGCGAAAACACCACCUGGGGCGCGUCCUGCGCCGGGCUAGGGCUCUCUUUGCUGAUUACCUGCAGUCAGAGGUGUGGGACUCAGAGGAGGGGGCUGAGGCCACAGCCGCAUCUUGAUCAGGCUUUCUCAAGCCCUCCAUCGGCCCCACCAGAUCUCCAUUCUUUGCCAUGAGGGCCAACACAUGAGACCCCACCUCCCUCCCUGCCUGCCAGCCCUAGACUUGUUGGAGCAUAGAGCCCUUCCUCCCCAGGCCUAAGUAUGUGGAGCUCUGCUUUGGCACUGCCCCGCAGAGGCCACGCCUAUUUAUUCUGUUUCUGUUGUUUUGUUUUUAACAACUAUACUUUGCACACAUGAAGGUCACUGUGGUUUGUGUGUUUCUCUGCCUCCUCCCUGGGUUUUGCUGUAGAUGGAGUCCUCAGGGGCCCUUUACCUGAUGGAGGGGAAAUACUUCACUUGGUGGAGAGAGGCUCCAGCUUCCCCCUUGUGAUGGGGAGAGUGGAUGCUGACAAUCAGUUCCCAAAGGUGAGCCCAGGUGGAGCACUGCUUGAGGAAGGCCUGAGUCUGUUUUUUUGGUACAUCCAUCGGCCUGUAAGGGUCUGUAUUAUGGCUGUGAAUAUAUGUUUUCAGGACAGCCCCCUGGAUGAGAGAUAAGAGAGUUCCUGGCUCAAAAAAGGACAAGAUUCUUUACUGAGAUUGGGAAGUAUGGGCUACUUAGAAACGUUGGAGCAGCCACCCCUGGCAUUCCACAUGUCACCAUUUCUAGGAUCUUGGCCUCUCUGUGAGGUUUAUGCACCAAUGCUGGCAGCCCUGGGCAGGGGCCUCGGCCUCCUUUUUGUUUUCCACUUCAGACAGGUACCGUGCAGAUGUUAACAAGGUUUGAGCGAGGUGCAUCUCACACAAGUGUGAAAGCCCAAUCAUCACAUUGUUGAAUUACAAAAGGAUCUAGGGCUCCUAUUCUUGUCACUUGCUUUGGAGCCAGUUUGAAAGACUGGCCUAGCCCAUGCCUAGCGGCCCUAAACUGGGAUUCCAGCUCACAGCACCUGUCUUAACCAUUUCAGCAGUAGAAACCACUUAUUUACCUUCUCCAUCUCACUAAUAUGGACAAACAACAAGCACUGAUAAAACGCAGGCCCUAAUAGAAUUCACUUCGUUAUUUGGAGGAUAAUGAUCAAAAAAAGGUCCUUUUUCCCACUGACAUGCUCAGAGGGUGGGAUUCUCUCACAGGCCAGGUGCUGUCAUCCACAAAGGAUGGGUGAAAUAACUGGGGUCCUCAGGUCACGGUCUAGCCACACCAGCUUCUCCCAAGUACUAACCAGGCUUGACCCUGCUUAGCUUCAGAGGUCAGACAAGAUCUGGCAUGUUCAGGAUGGUAUGGCUGUAGACCAGGCUGGGUUCUGGCCAGAGCUGUUGCACUAGGCAAUGCUGCCAGAGAUGAGGAGGCAUCAGGGCAGUCAUCCCUUCUGCUGUUUGCCCCAAGAAUGCCAUACAAACCUGGGGAUGACCCUUAAAAGUCUCCCGUCACCCCCAGUAUUGGGGGGAAGCUGACUAUUCCUCAGAUGAUAGCCCAGUCACUUGAAGAACAGGACAAGACUAUUCUGUGUCUAGGGGGCUCAAGCACUGUGUGUGGGUCUAACGAAUGCAUUUUGUGGAAAUGGGCUCAGACUCCCCAAAGGGCCAUCCAACCUAUGGGAGUGUCUGGCCUUCUGAGGUCCUGAAAUGUCUCUUUUGUCAGUAAACAGCUAAUACCCUC